ensembl:lncRNA
UCUGGACAUGGCAUUUUCACAAUAAUAAUGUAGUAGCUAACAUCUAUUGGUCGUAAAGAGUCGGACACAACUGAGCAACUGAACUGAACUAAACUGAACAUCUAUUGAGCACCUACUGUAUGCAUGACAUUGUCUGAUGAAGUGAUGCUGAAGGGGUCUUCUUGCUUUCAUCGGCUAGAAGAGGUAGCUCAUCAGCCAGAAUGUGGAACUGCAGAGUUCCUCAGAAAACUCAUCUUACAUCUAAGACUUCCACUGAAACCUAC